AACGAACGCUGGCGGCAUGCCUAACACAUGCAAGUCGAACGAAACCUUCGGGUCUAGUGGCGCACGGGUGCGUAACGCGUGGGAACCUGCCCUUAGGUUCGGAAUAACUCCCCGAAAGGGGUGCUAAUACCGGAUAAUGUCUUCGGACCAAAGAUUUAUCGCCUUUGGAUGGGCCCGCGUGGGAUUAGCUAGUUGGUAGGGUAAAAGCCUACCAAGGCGACGAUCCAUAGCUGGUCUGAGAGGAUGAUCAGCCACACUGGGACUGAGACACGGCCCAGACUCCUACGGGAGGCAGCAGUGGGGAAUAUUGGACAAUGGGCGAAAGCCUGAUCCAGCAAUGCCGCGUGAGUGAUGAAGGCCUUAGGGUUGUAAAGCUCUUUUAGCCGGGAUGAUAAUGACAGUACCGGGAGAAUAAGCUCCGGCUAACUCCGUG
rnacentral:rRNA from 1 species